AAGACAACAAGAGAUAUUUUGUUUGUUAUGUUUGGUGUGGGGACUGGAGAGGCACAGGAGACAUCAAACUCUUUCUCUUUGACUUGCAUGCAAUUUGAAUAUGGUGUGGCCCUCUUUUGCAUGGCUUCAGUUGGAGGCAUCUUUUUCUUUCCAAAAGAGGAUCUCUGAAAUUAGAUCUAUGAGGACUCUGUCCAGCAGCAAAGCCCCUCUACAUGAAGUCAUGGACUGUCGGACGUACUAAUUCUGGUGACAAAGACCCCUUAACAACCCUAUUCUGUGGUUCCCCUCCAUCACGAGCCAUUCAAAACCUCCAAAAAAGGCACUAGUUGAACAUUAUCAGAGCUUUGUCCUAAUACUCAGUUGCCAUCUUUGUGAACUGGAUCCCAUCCAAUGCAAGGAUUCGAGUUUUUAAUUAUUCCAUGUCCUUCUCAGUAUGCUCUGUCUCUCUAUUUGCAACCUUUUAAUUUUGACCCAGGAACUUCCGAUCAUGAGGACAUCAUUAGGGUCAAUUUCUUCAAUCUUUGUUUUAGGAUGCUGUGAGAGGAAGUCUUUGAGCAUGAUAGUGCAAUGAGAAGUGUGACUAAGAUAUGGAGGAUGGAUCAAAUUAUUUUGUGGCCAUGGUGCAUGGGAGUAUGUUGAUUGUUUCUGAUUAGAUGG
rnacentral:lncRNA from 1 species